rfam:Brassica napus, WGS project CCCW01000000 data, contig: 5980
GGAAUAUAAAAACCCGUUUUUUAAUUUUUAACUAAAAAAACUAAGAGCUGUUUCUUAAAAAAGAGACUGCUCUUAGUUUUUUUAGUUAAAAGUUAAGAGUCGGGUUCUUAUAUUCC